rnacentral:rRNA from 1 species
UACGGAGGAUGCAAGCGUUAUCCGGAAUGAUUGGGCGUAAAGCGUCCGCAGGUGGCUAUGUAAGUCUGCUGUUAAAGAGUGAGGCUCAACCUCAUAAAGGCAGUGGAAACUACAUGGCUAGAGUGCGUUCGGGGCAGAGGGAAUUCCUGGUGUAGCGGUGAAAUGCGUAGAGAUUGGGAAGAACAUCGGUGGCGAAAGCGCUCUACUGGACCUCAUCUGACACUCAGGGACGAAAGCUAGGGGAGCGAAUGGG